CGAAAGCCUGACGGAGCAACGCCGCGUGAGGGAUGAAGGCCUCUGGGCUGUAAACCUCUUUUCUCAAGGAAGAAGAUCUGACGGUACUUGAGGAAUAAGCCACGGCUAAUUCCGUGCCAGCAGCCGCGGUAAUACGGGAGUGGCAAGCGUUAUCCGGAAUCAUUGGGCGUAAAGCGUCCGCAGGCGGCCUUGAAAGUCUGUCGUUAAAGCGUGGAGCUUAACUCCAUUUCAGCGAUGGAAACUACAAGGCUUGAGUGUGGUAGGGCCAGAGGGAAUUCCCGGUGUAGCGGUGAAAUGCAUAGAUAUCGGGAAGAACACCAGUGGCGAAGGCGCUCUGCUGGGCCAUAACUGACGCUCAUGGACGAAAGCCAGGGGAGCG
rnacentral:rRNA from 1 species